AAGAAAUUAUUUUUUUUCUUGGUCAACUGGAAUGAAACGAUCAAUUUUCCCCUUGAAAUAAAGUCACUUCCAAGGGAAUCCAUGCUCACUGUAAAACUGUUUGGGAUUGCCUGUGCAACCAACAAUGCAAAUUUACUGGCGUGGACUUGUCUUCCACUGUUUCCAAAAGAGAAAUCCAUUCUCGGGUCUAUGCUGUUCAGCAUGACAUUACAGAGUGAGCCUCCCAUAGAAAUGAUAGCUCCAGGAGUGUGGGAUGUAAGUCAGCCAUCCCCGGUGACCCUGCAGAUUGAUUUUCCAGCUACUGGGUGGGAGUAUAUGAAACCUGAUUCUGAAGAGAAUAGAAGUAAUCUUGAAGAG
rnacentral:lncRNA from 1 species